AUUGAACGCUGGCGGCAGGCCUAACACAUGCAAGUCGAACGAGUGGCGGACGGGUGAGGAAUGUCUGGGAACCUGCCUGAGGGAGGGGGAUAACUACUGGAAACGGUAGCUACUACCGCAUACCAUCAGAUGUGCCCAGAUGGGAGUAGCUAGUAGGUUGGGUAACGGCCUACCAGGGCGACGAUCCCUAACUGGUCUGGGAGGAUGACCAGCCACACUGGAACUGAGACACGGUCCAGACUCCUACGGGAGGCAGCAGUGGGGAAUAUUGCACAAUGGGCGCAAGCCUGAUCCAGCCAUGCCGCGUGUAUGAAGAAGGCCUUCGGGUUGUAAAGUACUUUCAGCGGGGAGGCGUUACCCGCAGAAGAAGCACCGGCUAACUCCGUGCCAGCCGCCGCGGUAAUUC
rnacentral:rRNA from 1 species